GAUGAACGCUGGCGGCGUGCCUAAUACAUGCAAGUCGAGCGAACGGACGAGAAGCUUGCUUCUCUGAUGUUAGCGGCGGACGGGUGAGUAACACGUGGAUAACCUACCUAUAAGACUGGGAUAACUUCGGGAAACCGGAGCUAAUACCGGAUAAUAUUUUGAACCGCAUGGUUCAAAAGUAAAAGACGGUCUUGCUGUCACUUAUAGAUGGAUCCGCGCUGCAUUAGCUAGUUGGUAAGGUAACGGCUUACCAAGGCAACGAUGCAUAGCCGACCUGAGAGGGUGAUCGGCCACACUGGAACUGAAACACGGUCCAGACUCCUACGGGAGGCAGCAGUAGGGAAUCUUCCGCAAUGGGCGAAAGCCUGACGGAGCAACGCCGCGUGGGUGAUGAAGGUCUUCGGAUCGUAAAACUCUGUUAUUAGGGAAGAACAUAUGUGUAAGUAACUGUGCACAUCUUGACGGUACCUAAUCAGAAAGCCACGGCUAACUACGUG
rnacentral:rRNA from 1 species